UUGAACGCUGGCGGCGUGCCUAACACAUGCGAGUCGAGCGGUAACAGGCGUAGCAAUACGUGCUGACGAGCGGCGAACGGGUGAGCAAUGCUUCGGAAUCUGCCCAAUGAUGGGGAAUAACCAGUCGAAAGAUUGGCUAAUACCGCAUACGCCCUUCGGGGGAAAGCGGGGGAUCGCAAGACCUCGCGUCGAUGGAUGAGCCGAAGUCGGAUUAGCUAGUUGGUAGGGUAACGGCCUACCAAGGCGACGAUCCGUAGCUGGUCUGAGAGGACGACCAGCCACACUGGGACUGAGACACGGCCCAGACUCCUACGGGAGGCAGCAGUAGGGAAUUUUCCACAAUGGGGGCAACCCUGAUGGAGCAACGCCGCGUGCAGGAUGAAUGCCUUCGGGUUGUAAACUGCUUUUAUAUGUGACGAAUAUGACGGUAGCAUAUGAAUAAGGAUCGGCUAACUCCGUGCCAGCAGCCGCGGUCAUACGGAGGAUCCAAGCGUUAUCCGGAAUUACUGGGCGUAAAGAGUUGCGUAGGUGGCGAAGCAAGUAGGUAGUGAAAGCGUGUGGCUCAACCAUAUACACAUUACCUAAACUACUUUAGCUAGAGGAUGAGAGAGGUUAUUGGAAUUCCCAGUGUAGGAGUGAAAUCCGUAGAUAUUGGGAGGAACACCGAUGGCGUAGGCAGAUAACUGGCUCAUUCCUGACACUAAGGCACGAAAGCGUGGGGAGCAAACGGGAUUAGAUACCCCGGUAGUCCACGCCGUAAACUAUGGAUGCUAGCUGUUAUAGGUAUCGACCCCUGUAGUAGCGAAGCUAACGCGUUAAGCAUCCCGCCUGUGGAGUACGGUCGCAAGACUAAAACAUAAAGGAAUUGACGGGGACCCGCACAAGCGGUGGAGCGUGUUGUUUAAUUCGAUGGUAAGCGAAGAACCUUACCCAGGUUUGACAUCCCGAGAAUCCUUCCGAAAGGAAGGAGUGCAUUUUGAACUCGGUGACAGGUGUUGCAUGGCCGUCGUCAGCUCGUGUCGUGAGAUGUUUGGUUAAGUCCAUCAACGAGCGCAACCCUUGUGAUUAGUUGAAUUUUUCUAAUCAGACUGCCCUGGCAACAGGGAGGAAGGGGGGGAUGAUGUCAGGUCAGUAUUACCCUUACACCUGGGGCUACAAACACGCUACAAUGGCCGGUACAAAGGGCUGCCAAGUCGCGAGACGGAGCAAAUCCCAUCAAAGCCGGUCUCAGUUCGGAUUGCAGGCUGAAACUCGCCUGCAUGAAGCUGGAAUCGCUAGUAACGGUAGGUCAGCACACUACCGUGAAUACGUUCCCGGGUCUUGUACACACCGCCCGUCAAACCAUGAAAGUCGCCAAUACCUGACGUGUUGCCCUCGUGCAGCCCUAAGGUAGGGGAGAUGAUUGGGGUU
rnacentral:rRNA from 1 species